rnacentral:miRNA from 1 species
GUGGUUUCUCCGGUGCUAUUGAC